rnacentral:rRNA from 1 species
AGUAACGGCGAGUGAAGCGGCAACAGCUCAAAUUUGAAAUCUGGCCCUCGGGUCCGAGUUGUAAUUUGUAGAGGAUGCUUUUGGCGAGGUGCCUUCCGAGUUCCCUGGAACGGGACGCCAUAGAGGGUGAGAGCCCCGUCUGGUCGGACACCGAGCCUCUGUAAAGCUCCUUCAACGAGUCGAGUAGUUUGGGAAUGCUGCUCAAAAUGGGAGGUAUAUGUCUUCUAAAGCUAAAUAUUGGCCAGAGACCGAUAGCGCACAAGUAGAGUGAUCGAAAGAUGAAAAGCACUUUGAAAAGAGGGUUAAAAAGUACGUGAAAUUGUUGAAAGGGAAGCGCUUAUGACCAGACUUGCGCCCGGUGAAUCAUCCAGCGUUCUCGCUGGUGCACUUUGCCGGGCACAGGCCAGCAUCAGUUUGGCGCGGGGGAAAAAGGCUUCGGGAAUGUGGCUCCCUCGGGAGUGUUAUAGCCCGCUGCGUAAUACCCUGCGCCGGACUGAGGUACGCGCAUUGCAAGGAUGCUGGCGUAAUGGUCAUCAGCGACCCGUCUUGAAACACGGACCAAGGAGUCGUCUUCGUAUGCGAGUGUUCGGGUGUCAAACCCCUACGCGUAAUGAAAGUGAACGCAGGUGAGAGCUUCGGCGCAUCAUCGACCGAUCCUGAUGUUCUCGGAUGGAUUUGAGUAAGAGCAUACGGGGCCGGACCCGAAAGAAGGUGAACUAUGCCUGUAUAGGGUGAAGCCAGAGGAAACUCUGGUGGAGGCUCGCAGCGGUUCUGACGUGCGAAUCGAUCGUCAAAUAUGGGCAUGGGGGCGAAGACUAAUCGAACCUUCUAGUAGCUGGUUUCCGCCGAAGUU